rnacentral:lncRNA from 1 species
GGCACGUGACUGUGAGUUGUUAGACCAGUUAGUGUUGGUUAUCUGGACUUUGGCUUGAGAGAGCCUGAUUGAGCUCGACAGAGAUACGCUGCAUACUCGGUUGGGUAGCUCCCACGAGUGCCACUCCGGAGGCGGGCGCUGUGCUUUCGCGUUGGUGUCGUGCAUGCCGGUUAGACUUGCUCUCCACGGACUGGUUAGUGUGGAGGUAGCUGGAUAGUCUCAACUGGGCGGGACGGGUGUAUUCACCGUCCCUGGGACGGGUAUGUUUAUAGUCCCUAAAGAGAUUGG